AUUGAACGCUGGCGGCAGGCCUAACACAUGCAAGUCGAACGGUAACAGGAAACAGCUUGCUGUUUCGCUGACGAGUGGCGGACGGGUGAGUAAUGUCUGGGAAACUGCCUGAUGGAGGGGGAUAACUACUGGAAACGGUAGCUAAUACCGCAUAACGUCGCACGACCAAAGAGGGGGACCUUCGUGCCUCUUGUCAUCGGAUGUGCCCAGAUGGAAUUGGCUUGUUGGGGGGGUAAUGGCUCACCAAGGCGCCGAGCUCUAGCUGGUCUGAGGGGAAGACCAGCUACCUGGGAUGUGAGGCUGGGCACAGACUCUGAGGGGGGGAAGCAGUGGAGAAUAUUGCGGGAUGGGGGAAAGCCGGAUGCAGCAAUGCCGCGUGUAGGAAGAAGCCGCUAGGGUUGGAGAGUACUGACAGCGGGGAGGAAGGGAGUAAAGUUAAUACCUGUGCUCAUUGACGUUACCCGCAGAAGAAGCACCGGCUAACUCCGUG
rnacentral:rRNA from 1 species